rnacentral:rRNA from 1 species
GAUGAACGCUGGCGGCGUGCUUAACACAUGCAAGUCGAGCGAUGAAGCUUCUUCGGAAGUGGAUUAGCGGCGGACGGGUGAGUAACACGUGGGUAACCUGCCUUGUAGAGAGGAAUAGCCAUUCGAAAGGAUGAUUAAUACCUCAUAAUAUUGUAGCUUCGCAUGGAGCAACAAUCAAAGGAGCAAUCCGCUACAAGAUGGACCCGCGGCGCAUUAGCUAGUUGGUGAGGUAACGGCUCACCAAGGCGACGAUGCGUAGCCGACCUGAGCGGGUGUUCGGCCACAUUGGGACUGAGACGCGUCCCCUUCUCCUACGGGAGGCAGCAGUGGGGCCUCUUCCCCAAUGGGGGAAACCCUGAUGCAGCAACGCCGCCUCCUUCCUUCCUCUCUUCGGAUUGUCCUGCUCUUUCUUCAGGGACGAUAAUGACGGUACCUGAGGAGGCCGCCACGGCUAACUACGUGCCAGCAGCCGCCGUAA